UACAGAGGGUGCGAGCGUUAAUCGGAAUUACUGGGCGUAAAGGGCGCGCAGGCGGCUCUGAAAGUCAGAUGUGAAAGCCCCGGGCUUAACCUGGGAAUUGCAUUUGAUACUCUGGAGCUUGAGUACGGGAGAGGAGAGUGGAAUUCCCAGUGUAGAGGUGAAAUUCGUAGAUAUUGGGAAGAACACCGGUGGCGAAGGCGGCUCUCUGGACCGUAACUGACGCUGAGGCGCGAAAGCGUGGGGAGCAAACAGG
rnacentral:rRNA from 1 species